rnacentral:lncRNA from 1 species
UCAUGGUCUUUACAGGCAUUCAUGGUCUUUACAGGCAUUCAUGGUCUCUAUAGGUAUGCAUGGUCUCGAUAAAGAUCAAUCAGCCUCUCUACCAGAGAGCGAAACGAAACGAGUGUUGAGUUAGUUGACAUAUUGUUGUUGAGGAUCAGCGUAUACAGAAAACCUCGCUAGAUCACAGACAGCCGUCUACUGAGUGCAUCGCUUGUGCUGCAAGAGGCAGGGCGACUGCGAGUAGCUAGCUCGUCAAUCACUUCGUUUGAUUGACGAGCCUGAAGCGCACGUAGACGCUGCACAGAUGGACGCUGUGGCGCUUGAUGCUCGUGUGUUGACUCUAGUGGAAACGGGCCUCAAGAAACAUGAAUAGCUCCGUGAUAGAUACAUGCAUGACAUGUACCUAAUAACUGAUUUUUCUUCAUGUCAUGUACGAAUAACUUUAUUUUUCUUCAUGCACAAAGUUUACUUCAUGCCUACAAAUACUUCAUGUCCUUAUCAAAUAGCUAUAAACCUCAUGAAGUGUUGCACCACCUGACUUUAAUUAAUCAUGACUUCCCUUAUUUCUACUCAAUUACAGAUCAGAGUCACUCAAUACUCAAUAAACGUGUUUGUAAAUUCUUCACUUGGGCAACAACAAUGAAAAGUUCUAAUGUUCCUAAGGAACAUGAAUGCUACAUGCAUGACAUAUACCUACUAUAAUUACCCAAAAUAUAGCUUACUCCAAAAAGAUCAUCAUCUGGCCAGCAAAGGAGGCCCAUCAGUACACUAAGGCGAGUAAUUAGGCUAAAUCUAUUUAUAUGCCCCACACACAACAGCAAAACUUCUACAAAAACAUGUGAGUUAAGUUUACCUAUUUACUAACUUGUUGAGGAUAAUUUUUUAGAGUAAAGGUGUAUGUUACAUAUUUAUUCUCAUGCAAUAUGGUAUCACUAACAAUUAUUUAUAUAUUGCUUGGAAUAUUGCUAUCAUUUCAGUUGCAUUAGAAUGGAAGUAAAGUCUAAAUGACAUGAAUGUUAGUUCUUUCGUAGCAGAUAGAUCUCAUGAAAAUAUAGAUAUUUUCUGAUCUCCCAUUUGUUAUUACAGCUGUUAUGGCGGCUUGAGAGGGUUGCUGCAACCUUGACACUGAUGAUGGAACUGCUCAACCAUUCCUAUCCGUCUUGACUUCAACUCCUGAAAGAGCAGCCGCCAGCCGGACCUAGGAAAUACCUUGACAAGCAGUGAGGUCUUAACGUUGAAGAUGACUGGAGCUUGGCCCGGUAAACCUGGUAGCCAGGGUUCAUCCUAUACCGCCUCAUCUUCCUCCUAUGACCAGCAGUCAAGUUCCUGGAACGACUCCUACUAUCGCACAUCUCAUGCAUCUCUUACCACCGUUCCCACGAAACAUUGCUUCAAACCGGGACACUACUGUCACCGCCCUCCUCCCGCUCGCGCACCGAAUUGCCACAGGUCUCAACUCAUGGCGGCCUCCAGCCCGCAAAAUGGCAGCUGCGGUCGACCUAUCGAAAGCUUGCGAUACCGUCGACCACUCUCUCCUAAAUAUGAUCGAGUCCUCGGACCUCUACCGCAAUACGAUCCGCUGGCUGUGCUGUUAUCUCAGAGGCAAGAUGGCAUCGUGCCUCUAUCUCAGAACGCAAUCUCCCUUCCGAAAUCCGAACAAUUCACUCAAGAGUCCGCCAAGGCUCAGUAAUCUUCCAGGCAUUAUUCAACCACUUCACCUCUGACAUCCCAGUACAGAUCUCCAAUAUUGCCUCAUACGCGUACGCCCUCACGAUCUUCGUGUCUUCCCCGAGGUUUGAUGCUGCGGAGGCUGAGCUCGCUGGGCUUCUUCGGGGAAUCUCUGACUGGUCUGCCUCCAAGAAACUGACAGUAGCACCGUGCAAGUCAUCCGUCAUGUUUCUCACCAAAGACACCCACCAAUCCCGCUCACCCCCUUCCGCCAAUAUCUGCAACGUCAGUAUCCCUCUAGAUAAAACCCCAAAAUUCUAGGCGUCACCUGGGAUACUCACUACAUGUUUUCACCAUACGUCAGAGUCAAAGCCACUAAAGCGGUGGGCUCUCUACGUAUCUUAAAAGCCCUGGCUGGCACCAACUGAGGUUUCUCCAAGGAGGACCUCAUCGCCACCUACCGGUACCGGUCAAUCACGUGCCAGAUCGACUACGCUGCCCCAUCUGGUAACCUGUCGCCUUACGCACUGCAAUAACAAGCCUCCAAACUAUCCAAAACUCAGCUCUGAGACUAGCCACCGGCUGCCUCAAAAUGGCUCACAUUACCCAUCUCCACCAUGAGGCUGGCAUCAUUCCCUUGCCCGCUCACCUGGACCUGGCUUGCGCUCAGUUCCUAGCCAGCGACCUUCAGCCCUCCCAUACUUCAAUCCAUAUUGUCUCUGCAGCCCUUUGGGACCGUCCUCAUGAAAACCUACCUCAUGUCUAGAUUCGGCCUCCUUGUUGCGCCCUUUCUGACAAACGGCAUCAUGUCCGCCGGUGCCUAUGGAGAGGCUAAGCGCUCAAUUCGCAGGGAGAGCUCCUUCCGCAUAAUGGCGACCGCUGAGAACAACGCUGUCCUUGCGACCCGAUCACCACCGAUUGCAUCAGAAGAGGCCUCGCUUCCUCGCCCCUACCGUUCUGUGCUAUCCCUGCUCCGCUCGGGAUAUUGUAGUUCUCUGGCGUCCUCACUGCCUAGCUUUAUUCUACUUGACUAGUGUUUCCGUCUCUGAUUUUGUAAUUGGUAUGUAAUUUCAGGUCAUCUAAAGCUUAUGCUGUAAUUUCAUGUUUAUGUAUCAUUAGUGUGUCGACUAACCGUAACUAAUGAAAUAAGUUGAGCAGAAAAAAUUCGACACUUGUCACGUACUAUUUUCUAGUGGUUGAGUUUCUUAUAUAUUUCUGCAAUUUUAAAGGCAUUUCUUUAAUAUUCGGAAUUUUAUGACGCAAACGCAACAUUUUUAUUUAUUUUCAAGUUUGCUGGACGUUUCUGUGAGAUGAUAAAAUUUGUUGACGAGUUUAUGAAGUUUGAUGCUGAGCUUAUAAAGUUUGUUGAUGAGUUGAUAAAGUUUGUUAAAAGUUGAUACAAGUUAAAGUUGAUAAAGUCAUUACGAUAAAGUCUGAAACUCGAUCCUGCAUGCCAUACUUUGAAUCUAAAUCAAAUCAAAGUGUUUUAAAAACAAGAGCCACAAGUUUCCACGGUCAGAGUUAUUAUUGGUGAUAAAUUUGAACGAUUGCAAAAACGAAAUCCUAACUAUCUGCUUGCAUUGAAUUUUUUCACUUGAUCCUAUUUUCGUAUUUUUGCCUACUUCAUCUCAUGUCAUAGUUUGCUUCUAUGUUUUAACUUUUUAGCGAAUAACUGCUUUGAGUAACAGCCAUGAUAAGCCUGUUUAUUUUUAUUCAGAAGACUGAUGCAGGUUAAUAAUUUGUAGAGUCAUGACAACGUGUACAGCACACGAUGAAAUAUUUUGUACACGCGCGGAUUUGAGUUCUGCGUCGUAUGUAAUGUGAAAAAAUAUAAAAGUAAAUUAUUCUAUACUG